GACGUAGGGCGCGAGCGUUGUCCGGAUUUAUUGGGCGUAAAGAGCGCGUAGGCGGCCCGGAAAGUGGGGUGUGAAAACCCGAGGCUCAACCUCGGGCGUGCACUCCAAACUCCCGGGCUCGAGGCAGGUAGGGGAGAUCGGAAUUCCUGGUGUAGCGGUGAAAUGCGUAGAUAUCAAGAGGAACACCUGAGGUGAAGACGGGUUGCUGGGCUGACACGUGACGCUGAGGCGCGAAAGCCAGGGGAGCAAACGGGG
rnacentral:rRNA from 1 species